rnacentral:rRNA from 1 species
AAGCUUCGGCGGUCAGAGAUGGGCAUGCGUAACAUUAGCUGGUUGGUGAGGUAACAGCUCACCAAUGCUACGAUGUUUAGGGGGUCUGAGAGGAUGGUCCCCCACACUGGUACUGAGACACGGACCAGACUCCUACGGGAGGCAGCAGUGAGGAAUAUUGGUCAAUGGGCGAAAGCCUGAACCAGCCAUGCCGCGUGAAGGAUGACGGCCCUAUGGGUUGUAAACUUCUUUUAUACGGGAAGAAACCCCUCUACGUGUAGGGGGCUGACGGUACCGUACGAAUAAGCAUCGGCUAACUCCGUGCCAGCAGCCGCGGUAAUACGGAGGAUGCAAGCGUUAUCCGGAUUUAUUGGGUUUAAAGGGUGCGUAGGCGGAAAAUUAAGUCAGUGGUGAAAUCCUGCAGCUUAACUGUAGAAUUGCCAUUGAUACUGGUUUUCUUGAAUACAGUUGAGGUAGGCGGAAUGAGUAAUGUAGCGGUGAAAUGCUUAGAUAUUACUCAGAACACCAAUUGCGAAGGCAGCUUACUAAACUGUGAUUGACGCUGAGGCACGAAAGCGUGGGGAGCGAACAGGAUUAGAUACCCUGGUAGUCCACGCCGUAAACGAUGAUCACUCGUUGUUGGCAAUACACCGUCAGCGACUGAGCGAAAGUAUUAAGUGAUCCACCUGGGGAGUACGAUUGCAAGAUUGAAACUCAAAGGAAUUGACGGGGGCCCGCACAAGCGGAGGAACAUGUGGUUUAAUUCGAUGAUACGCGAGGAACCUUACCUGGGCUUAAAUGCAUAACGACGGAUCGGGAAACUGGUCUUUCUUCGGACGGAAUGCAAGGUGCUGCAUGGCUGUCGUCAGCUCGUGCCGUGAGGUGUCGGGUUAAGUCCCAUAACGAGCGCAACCCUCAUCAUUAGUUGCCAGCGGGUAAUGCCGGGGACUCUAAUGAAACUGCCGGUGUAAACCGAGAGGAAGGCGAGGAUGACGUCAAGUCAGCACGGCCCUUAUGUCCAGGGCUACACACGUGUUACAAUGGUCAGUACAAAGGGCAGCUACCAGGCAACUGGAUGCUAAUCUCAAAAGCUGGUCACAGUUCGGAUCGGAGUCUGCAACUCGACUUCGUGAAGUUGGAUUCGCUAGUAAUCGCGCAUCAGCCAUGGCGCGGUGAAUACGUUCCCGGGCCAUUGUACACACCGCCCGUCAAGCCAUGGAAGCACGGGGGUACCACUGAAGUUCGUAACCGAGAGGAUCG